ensembl:lncRNA
CCGGAAUGUCAGAUGCACAGGUGGUUUCCCACCCCAGUAUGUGAACUGAGGUUCAUCCACGGUGAAGUUUGCAGCCAUCAUGCAGAAGUCUGACUGCCAGAGGCUGAUGUGCUCUGAAGAGCCAAAUACACAUCAGAAGGUCCCCUGAAGGUAUGCUGAGUGACAGUCACAGCUGAGCCCAGCCCUCCAGGUAGCCAGCCCAGGUGCCUGCCCCACGAGUGGAGAAGCUGAUUCUGCCUCCCAGAACUGGAGUCACCCAUCAGCGUUUUGCAUCUUUCAAGCUGAGGUGCUAAACCUGUGGACCAGAGAAAGCCAUUCCAGCUCCGCCUUACCCUGAUUCCUGACUUGAAGAACCCAUGAGCUCAAGAGAACUAGGAGAAAGGCACAGACUGGGAGAAAAAUUUGGAAAAGGCACAUCUGUUAAGGACUGUGAUCCAAAAAUGUACGAAGAACUCUUAAAAUGCAGCAGUAAGGAAACAAAAGCUUAAUUAAAACAUGGGCCAACCGCCUUAACAGAACUCACCCAAGAAGAUAUCCAGAUGUCAAAUAAGCGUAGUGGGAAGAUGCUCCUCAUCAUAUGUUAUCUGAGAAAUGCAAGUUAAAACAACAAUGACAUACCACCACAUCCCUAUUAAAGUGGCCGGAAUCUGGAACUGACAACACCCAAUGCUGCUGAGAUUUUCACCAAUAUGUGAGCUCUCACAUACUGCUAGUAGGAGUGAGAAAUGGUACAGCUGCUUUGGAAGACAGUUUGGUGGUUUCUUACAAAAUGAAAUACACUCUUAUUAUACGAUCCACCAAUCACACUCCUUAUUGGUUAUCCAAAGAUAGUUGAAACCUUAUGUCCAUAAAAAAAAAAUCUGCACAUGGAUGUUUAUAGCACCUUUGUUCAUAAUUGCCUAAAUUUGGAAGCAACCAAGAUGUCUUUCAGUAGAUAAACAGGUUAAUAAACAGUGAUACAUUCAGACAAUGGAAUAUUAUUCAGCACUAAAAAAAAUUGAGCUAUCAAGCAAUGAAAAGACAUGGAGGAAUCUUAAAUUCAUAUUUCCAAGUAAAAGAAGCCAAUCUGAAAAGCCUACAUACUGUAUGAUUCCAAGUGUAUGACAUUCUGGAGAAGGCAAAACUAUGGAAACAAUAAAAAGAUGAAUAAUUGUCAGAUGGGAUCAGUAAUUGCCAGAUGAAUAGGCAGAGCCCAGAGGGUUUUUAGAGCAGUGAAAAUAUCUAUAUGAUAUGAUAAUGAUGAAUAUAUGUCGUUAUAAUUUUGUCCAAACCCAGAAUGUACAAAAACCAAGAGUGAACCGUAAGUUAAACUGUGGACUCUGGAUGGUUAACUAUGGUCUUUGGGUGAUUAUGAUGUAUCAGUUUAGAUUCGUCCUUGAUGAAAAAUGUACCAUUCAGGUGAAUGAUGCUGAUGAUGGGGGGAGGCCAUGCAUGUGUGGGAGUGGAGGGGAUGUGGGAAUUCUCUCUGUACGUUUCUUUCCAUUUUAUUGUAAACCUAAAACUGCUCUAGAAAAAUGAAGUUAAAAAAAGUCCACGAGUAAAAUGAAAUAAUUUUCCCUCACUGAGUUUAGGAUUCUUUGUUGGAUUUGUUCCAGUGAAUCAAUAACUGAAACAAUAUCUUUUGUCGAUGUAUGUAUAUACUCUCUACCUAGUCUGAAAGUGAUUAUUGA